rnacentral:rRNA from 1 species
ACCAAUGAUUUGGAAUGCACACGAUUUCAUCAGAUCUCAGAGGCUAAGCAGGCUUAAUCCUGGAUAGUGCUUGGAUGGGUGACUACCAUGCACAGCAGGUUGAUA